GACGAACGCUGGCGGCGUGCUUAACACAUGCAAGUCGAACGGUGAAGCGCCUUCCUUGUUGGUGGGUGGGGAGGAGUGGCGAACGGGUGAGUAACACGUGAGUAACCUGCCCCCUUCUACUGGAUAACCGCAUGAAAGUGUGGCUAAUACGGGAUAUUCUGGGUCUGUCGCAUGAUGGGUCUGGGAAAGAUAUUGUGUCGGUGGGGGAUGGGCUCGCGGCCUAUCAGCUUGUUGGGGGGGUGAUGGCCUACCAAGGCGGUGACGGGUAGCCGGCCUGGGGGGGUGGACGGUCUGACUGGGGCUGCGGCCACGUUCAGACUGCGACGGGGGGCAGCAGUGUGGAAUAUUGAACAGUGGGCGCAAGUCUGCUGCAGCGGCGCCGCGGGAGGGAUGGAGGCCUUAGCGUUGUGAACCUCUUUCGCCAGUGAAGCAGUCCUGCCUCGUUUGUGGGUGGGUUGACGGUAGCUGGUUAAGAAGCGCCGGCUAACUACGUG
rnacentral:rRNA from 1 species